rnacentral:rRNA from 1 species
AGUAAAUAGAUACCCCGGUAGUCCACGCCGUAAACGAUGUCGACUUGGAGGUUGUGCCCUUGAGGCGUGGCUUCCGGAGCUAAACGCGUUAAAGUCGACCGCCUGGGGAGUACGGCCGCAAGGUUAAAACUCAAAUGAAUUGACGGGGGCCCGCACAAGCGGUGGAGCAUGUGGUUUAAUUCGAUGCAACGCGAAGAACCUUACCUACUCUUGACAUCCAGAGAACUUAGCAGAGAUGCUUUGGUGCCUUCGGGAACUCUGAGACAGGUGCUGCAUGGCUGUCGUCAGCUCGUGUUGUGAGAUGUUGGGUUAAGUCCCGCAACGAGCGCAACCCUUAUCCUUUGUUGCCAGCGGUUAGGCCGGGAACUCAAAGGAGACUGCCAGUGAUAAACUGGAGGAAGGUGGGGAUGACGUCAAGUCAUCAUGGCCCUUACGAGUAGGGCUACACACGUGCUACAAUGGCGCAUACAAAGAGAAGCGACCUCGCGAGAGCAAGCGGACCUCAUAAA